UUUGCUGACCUUCUCGGUUUCCACACCCACCACCUGGAUCAGCUUGUCGGCAUUCUCGUUUUUCUGCUUGAGCUCAGCCUCCUGAAUCGCCAGCUUGGCUUUUAAGUCAUCCACCUCGGGGAGGAGAUGCCAAGAGACGGUAUUAAAACCCACGCGUCCUUUCUGGCGUGAGAAUGGACGUUUCUCUAAGGCCGGAAUCCCGUUCCUCCGACUCGGGGAAGGUUCUUCCCUACCUGGGACGCUGUGCUCUGCAGUUUCAUCAGGCCGUUCUCCAGCCUCUCGAUCUUGGCCACCAGCUCCAUUCUCUUCCUGGCCAGCAGGUUCUGGCUAUGAAGAGACUGAUGGAAGCCUUGACAUCUCCCUGCAAAGGCAAGAUGGGCCGUUGGUUCCCUGUCCCCUGGCGGGAGCGACCCCACCCCGGUGGGGGCCCUGGAGGAGCCCCGGGAGGAAUGGGGGCCGUCAAGACAGCAAUGCCUGUGCAGGCCGUCGUGGGCGCUUGGUGACAUUGUACCAGCAAGGGUCUGGCUCAGUGCCAGGGACGCAACAUGGCUUGACUCCCGUGAUCACCUCUCUCUGAUUCACGCCCGCCCAUACCUGGGAGAGCGCAGGGCCCGACGGUAUGUUUGAGUGACCUGGGCCAUCCAGUAGGCAUUUAUUGUGCGAAGGGUCCUACGCUGGGUCCUGCUUCCCACGGCAGGGUCACAGCCACCACCGUCUGGGUCCACCCCAUCUGCCUGGGCGCCUGGUCCCAGGAAUUGUCCAAGCCAUGCCAGCCGUGAUUCAAGGUAAUUUGGAAACGUGUUCUCCCUGACACGUGCUGCCUCAGCAUCUGCCCUGUGGCCCUCGCUGGUGCCAGCCGUGGGGGCCUUUCCCCGAUUUUAGGGGGGGGGGCUGGAAACCCCACAUCUGUGCCCCAAGCAAAGUGUGGGAAGGGCCCAUCCCAGAGUAGGUGCUCUAGCAAUGACCAGCAGGAGAUUUUACCCACCUUUCCCACCAGGCCCACGGUUAACUUCAGGUUCGGUACUUAGUAACUGAAUAUGUGUCCAAAAUAAAACAAAACAUGAUAACCAA